ensembl:ncRNA lncRNA:CR45975 long non-coding RNA:CR45975
CAACAUUUAGAGAGCAUAAAGAGAAAUGUGUAAAAUUGUCAUAAACCUUAUUAGUGUCUAUACGUAUGAGCAAAACCACAAGUAUCGUACUCAACUAACAAAUAAUUGUCAAAUUUUCUACUUCAACUACUUCAACUACAUUUCAACUACUUACAAAUAUAAAUCGUAAACUAAUAUUACAGAACUACAAUACAGAACCAACAACAAAACAAAGAUGCAACCGCAGCAACAAGAAUAACAAAAGACAACAACUCAAUUGUACAAAAUAGAUUUUAAGCAAACAGCAAAUUUUAUAUGUUUACAACAAAGAGAGAAAAUACAAAACGUCUACAAAAAAUAGAAUACAAGAACCGCCGAACAGAAUACAUUUUAACAAAAAUUAAACAAAACAACAACAAACAUUUAAGCAAUUUUGAUACGAAUAAUCAAGAAUAACAAAAUUUGAAAUGUAUCUUAUCAUUAUUAUUGAUUUUAGCAAAAUUCAAAACAUAUUAUUUUAAUUUUGGCAUUGCAAAUUAAACAAGAAAUAUUGAAAUUAAUC